rnacentral:rRNA from 1 species
CAGUCGCCACGGUAAUACGUAGGGUGCGAGCGUUAAUCGGAAUUACUGGGCGUAAAGCGUGCGCAGGCGGUUAUGUAAGACAGUUGUGAAAUCCCCCGGGCUCAACCUGGGAGCUGCAUCUGUGACUGCAUAGCUAGAGUACGGUAGAGGGGGAUGGAAUUCCGCGUGUAGCAGUGAAAUGCGUAGAGAUGCGGAGGAACACCGAUGGCGAAGGCAGCCCCCUGGGCCAACACUGACGCUCAUGCACGAAAGCGUGGGGAGCAAACAGGAUUAGAUACCCGAGUAGUCCCUGUCUCUUAUA